rnacentral:lncRNA from 1 species
AACUGGUAAUCUGAAAACCAUUCCUUUUUUUUUUUUUUUUUAAUGGUUUUUCCAUGUAGUAAUAUCAAGACCUUUGUUAAACAGUGCCAUAUUUUAUGGAAAAAUCUAAUACCAAAUUUGCCUACUGCAGUGAAAAUUAUCAGAAUACUUUGCUAUGCUAUAAAUUCUAAUGCCUUAACAAAUCUCAUGUAGGCAGAACCUAAAAUCAGCUUAACAACACUCCUAGGUUUUUAAUCUCACUUAUCCUGGCAAUCCAUUCAUCAACAAGUCAUGGAUUUGACUGUAGGGAAGGAUCAAAUCAUGUACAGAUCUUUCAAAACCAGAAACCCAAAGGCAGAAAUGUGGGUGUUAUUCCUUUACAGAGAAUGCUUCCAAAGAGAAUCUAUACUUCCCAGGAGCCCUUUAUAAAAAUUCUAAGUAGAAAUCUGUGAGGUUAUACAAUAAAGCAAUUUGGGAUAAGGUUUUCUGCAGAAAUGGUUGAAAGCUGUGGAGCAGUAGUUCCCAAACUUGCUCCACAUUGGAUAUACCUGGAGGUCUUUUAAAAAAAUACUGACAGGGAGCUCCCAUUGUGGCUCGAAUCCGACUGGGAACCAUGAGGUUGUGGGUUCGAUCCCUGGCCUUGCUUAGUGGGUUAAGGAUCCAGCGUUGCCACGAGCUGUGGUGUAGGUCACAGAUGCGGCUCAGAUCCCGCAUUACUGUGGCUGUGGUGUAGACUGGUGGCUACAGCUCCGAUUCAACCCCUAGCCUGGGAACCUCCAUAUGCCACGGAGAGGCCCUAGAAAAGGCAAAAAGACAAAAAACAAACAAACAAGCAAACAAAACAAACAAACAAACAAAAACAAAAAACAAAACUGACAGCUGGUUCCCACCUACAGCCAUUCUGAUUUCAUUUAACUAGGUGACACGUGAGCAUCAGGCCUUUUUAAAUCCCUGCCCCCCACAUUCUAACAUGCAGCUCUAUCUGGGAACUGAUACUAAGGAAAAUGACGUCUUCAAAUUUUUCUGCCUUCGGUUCUAGGAAUGACAGGAAACAAAAACCCUAACCCUUAUUUCUGGGAUCUCUUAGGGUAGAAUGAGCCAAAGAAAGCACAAAGGUAACACCCAUCUCCUGGAACCAUUUUCACACAGCUAUGGUAUUUUCUCUCCACAGAACUUUAGGCAAAGUAUAAUGGAGGCCAGUUGAAACCAUUAUCAAGCAAGUAUCAAUCUAGAAAGUGAUCAGGUAGAUCUGAUGCUGCUAAAAUAAGCAGGAAAAGAAAACUAUAACCUAGUGUAAAAGUUAGAGAUGUAAGGCUAAAAUGGAACAGCCAGUAAAUGUAAACCACUCCAGGCUGAGACUAAGGGGACCAGGGGGCUGGGGAGGAAGGCUAAAGCUGUGAUACAGUUCUUUCUCCCAUCUCCCAUAAUAGAGGAGAUGGGGUUAAGAAGGCAGAGUAGGACUGGAGCUCACCUUCUCUCACAAAACACCAAAAUUACAACCAACUGCUAAACAAUCCUCAACAAAAUAGACUGAAAACUACCAAAAAAGAUAUCAGGCCCUCAAAGACAAAGAAGCCACAUCAAGAUGGUAAGAAGGGCCAUUACAUGAUAAAAAGCAACCCCAUACUCACUGGGUGGACGGCCCACAGACUGGAGAGUAACUAUAUCACAGAGGCUCACCCAUGGGAGAAUUCUGAGCCCCACGUCAGGUUCCCACACCUGGGGGUCUGGCAUUGGGAAGAGGAGCCUCCAGAGCAUUUGGUAUUGAAGGCCAGUGGGGCUGGGCUUGUGCACAGGAGCUCCAUGGGACUGGGGGAAAUGGGGACUCCACUCUUGAAAGGACCACACAGGCUUUUGUGUGUACUGGGUCCCAGGGCAAAGCAGAGACUCCACAGCAAUGUGGGUCAGACCUGCCUGCAGAUCUUGGAUGAUCUCCUGGGAAAACAGGGGGUGACUGCAGCUUGUUGUGGGGGAAGAACACUGGAGACAAAGAUCUUGGGAAUAAUCAUCAGUGUGAACUUCCCUGGAGGUGGACAUUUUGGAAAAAAUCUAGCCCCAGCACCAGGGUGGAGAAGCCCCAGGCCAAACAACAAACUGAAUUGGAACACAGCCCCACCCAUCAGCAAACAGGCUGCCUAAAGAGCUCUAGGCACAUAACUGCCUCUAAUUACACCCAGAGACAAAGUCCCACCCACCAGAGGGAUAAGCAUCAACUCCACCUUCCAAAGGGCAGCCACCAGUCCCUCCCAGCAGGAAGCCUGCACCAAGCCCCUGUACCAGCUUCAGCCAUAAGUGGCAAACACCAGAAGCAAAAGAGGCUACCACCCUGUUGCUUGCAAAAAGGAGAUGACACCAAAUAUCUAUACAAAAUGAAAAGGCAGAGAAUUAUGACUCAGAUAAAGGAACAAGAAAAAACCCCAGAAAAGCAGCUAAGUGAUCUGGAGAUUAUCAACCUCCAUGAAAAAGACUUUAGACUAACAAUAGUAAAGAUGAUUCAGGGAGUUCCCGUUGUGGCUCAGUGGUUAACAAUCCGACUAGGAAACACGAGGUUGCGAGGUUGCGGGUUCAAUCCCUGGCCUUGAUCAGUGGGUUGAGGAUCCGGCAUUGCUGUGAGCUGUGGUGUA